UUGCACCUCCUUUUGAAGCUUCUUCUUCAGAGUCCACCUUGACUCUCCACUCCACCCAAAGAGAUCCGCACCACCGGAGCAUGCGAUGCGAAAACGCAACAUGCACAGUUGCACUUGCACGAUCGACACCCGCUUUGAUGCAAAAGCCGUCACUGUUGCUUCACAGCUAAGCAGAUACUAGAAAAAUUUAUCCUGUAUGUGUACUCCCUUUUUAAUCUGAACAGGAGGAUCGGGGAUAAGUUUGUUCUUCUGUUGCUUUCUUUUUCCGGCCUGUUGGUUUUGACUGAUCACUGUCAGCAAAGUAAACAGGGGGGAUGAGAUGGCCGGCCCGGCCGGCCACUCGGGUUUCAGUUGGUUGGGACUUGGGCGUCUGUUUUGAAGUUAGUUUCUUUAAAGUUUUCGAGUAAAAGACGACCACUUAAUUAGUACCAACACUUAUCUUCUACACAAUCUCAUCCAACGUGUACUGGUUAAAUUUGAUUGAGAUCGUACAUAACAGCAGGUCAGCGGCUGGUCCUAGCAACCACAAUGCAGACAAGCCGCGCGCCUCCUCUCGACAGAAGCAACAUUUUGUGUUGAAUCAAUCGUUGCUGCGCAACCGGCCAGUUGGUGCUGCCUGCUUGUGGCUAAAACCCGUUUAAUCGGGCUAGGGGAUGGAUAUCGGCGGUGGCAUGGCAAGGCAGCGACUGGCCUGGUGCUCUUCGCUUAAUCUCGACAUGGACUCAACUGAUUUUGCUUUCUUUUUCUGCCCCGUCCCGCUGGUGCGCCGUGCACUACGCCGGCGCCUUUUGCUCCCUCCUGCUUUCUCCGGCGCAAAAAGAUCAGCAAAACUGUAAAAUCACAAGCGGGAUUAACCGACUAGGCAAAGAUUUGAUUGUGGACCGGAGCAUCAUCCCGUGGAGUACAGCGGAGAAACAGCAUCUGGAGAAGACUCUCGAGACAGACAAGACAACGAAACUACGAGAGAGAGGGAGGGAGCAAGAAGAAUCAGCGACGCUCCCUGGUGUCUGGUGCCAGUACCUAUCUGUAUACGUUGACGCGUAGCGUCGAGCCGUUCACACAUACAAACACAAAUACUGAAGUCGACUACAUACGUACAUAAGCGUCAUGUAUUAAUUGGGUGUCAGGGGAAAAAAUCCGGUCUGGAUUCCCCGUCCCAGCAUAUGCAUGUGCGACUGCAUCUAUCUCUCGAUCGACCAGCUAGACAAGUAAAACCAACCGUGUAGCAUUAAGAAAGAGAUAGAUGCAUAUAUGCCUUGAGAUUGAGAAUCUGAGAUCGAUCAUCUCA